rnacentral:rRNA from 1 species
AUUGAACGCUGGCGGCAGGCUUAACACAUGCAAGUCGAACGAGUGGCGGACGGGUGAGUAAUGCUUGGGAAUCUAGCUUAUGGAGGGGGAUAACUACGGGAAACUGUAGCUAAUACCGCGUACCAUAGGAUGAGCCCAAGUGGGAUUAGGUAGUUGGUGAGGUAACGGCUCACCAAGCCGACGAUCUCUAGCUGGUCUGAGAGGAUGACCAGCCAAAAUGGGACUGAGAAAGGGACCAGACUCCUAAGGGAGUCAGAAGUGGGGAAGAUUGAGCAAUGGGGUCAAGCGGAUGAAGCCAUGCCGCGUGAAUGAAGAAGGCCUUCGGGUGGUAAAGGUCUUGCGGUAGUGAGGCGUUACCGACAGAAGAAGCACCGGCUAACGCCGUGCCAGCAGCCGCGGUAAUAC